CAUGCAAGUCGAACGGAGAUAUGAUUUCGGUUGUAUCUUAGUGGCGAACGGGUGAGUAACGCGUGAGCAACCUGACUCUUAGAGGGGGAUAACACUCGGAAACGAGUGCUAAUACCGCAUAAGACCACGACAUGGCAUCAUGACGAGGUCAAAGGAGCAAUCCGGUGAGAGAUGGGCCCGCGUCCAAUUAGCUAGAUGGCGGGGUAACGGACCACCAAGGCGACGAUCAGUAGCCGAACUGAGAGGUUGAUCGGCCACAUUGGGACUGAGAUACGGCCCAGACUCCUACGGGAGGCAGCAGUGGGGAAUAUUGCGCAAUGGGGGAAACCCUGACGCAGCAACGCCGCGUGAAGGAUGAAGGUUUUCGGAUCGUAAACUUCUUUGAUGGGGGACGAAACAAAUGACGGUACCCCAAAAACAAGCCACGGCUAACUACGUGCCAGCAGCCGCGGUAAUACGUAGGUGGCGAGCGUUGUCCGGAAUUACUGGGUGUAAAGGGCGUGUAGGCGGGAAUGCAAGUCAGAUGUGAAAUGCCGAGGCUUAACCUCGGAGCUGCAUCUGAAACUGUGUUUCUUGAGUGUCGGAGAGGAAAGUGGAAUUCCCAGUGUAGCGGUGAAAUGCGUAGAUAUUCGAAGGAACACCGGUGGCGAAGGCGACUUUCUGGACGAUAACUGACGCUGAGGCGCGAAAGCGUGGGGAGCAAACAGGAUUAGAUACCCUGGUAGUCCACGCCGUAAACGAUGGGUACUAGGUGUUGCGGGUAUUGACCCCUGCAGUGCCGAAGCUAACGCAUUAAGUACCCCGCCUGGGGAGUACGGUCGCAAGACUAAAACUCAAAGGAAUUGACGGGGGCCCGCACAAGCGGUGGAGCAUGUGGUUUAAUUCGACGCAACGCGAAGAACCUUACCUGGGCUUGACAUCCCGUGACAAUUAUAGAAAUAUGGCGGUCCCUUCGGGGGAGCAGAGACAGGUGGUGCAUGGUUGUCGUCAGCUCGUGUCGUGAGAUGUUGGGUUAAGUCCCGCAACGAGCGCAACCCUUAUUGCUAGUUGCCAUCAUUAAGUUGGGCACUCUGGCAGAACUGCCGGUGAUAACACGGAGGAAGGUGGGGAUGACGUCAAAUCAUCAUGCCCCUUAUGUCUUGGGCUACACACGUACUACAAUGGCCUGAACAGAGGGAAGCAAAACUGCGAAGUUAAGCGAAUCCUUAAAACAGGUCCCAAUUCGGAUUGUAGGCUGCAACUCGCCUACAUGAAGUUGGAAUCGCUAGUAAUCGCAGGUCAGCAUACUGCGGUGAAUACGUUCCCGGGCCU
rnacentral:rRNA from 1 species